CAGGGGGUGGCUAAAUAGUAAAGCAUCUCCCUUACACCGAGAAGACGCCCGUGCAAGUCGGACCCCCCUGA
rnacentral:tRNA from 1 species